UGGGGAAUAUUGGACAAUGGGGGAAACCCUGAUCCAGCAAUGCCGCGUGUGUGAAGAAGGCCUUCGGGUUGUAAAGCACUUUCGGUGGGGAAGAAAUUCUCAAGGGUAAUAUCCUUGGGCGUUGACGUUACCCACAGAAGAAGCACUGGCUAACUCUGUGCCAGCAGCCGCGGUAAUACAGAGAGUGCAAGCGUUAAUCGGAAUCACUGGGCGUAAAGCGCGCGUAGGUGGAUAUUUAAGUCGGAUGUGAAAGCCCUGGGCUUAACCUGGGAAUUGCACCCGAUACUGGGUAUCUUGAGUAUGGUAGAGGGAAGUGGAAUUUCCGGUGUAGCGGUGAAAUGCGUAGAUAUCGGAAAGAACACCAGUGGCGAAGGCGACUUCCUGGACCAAUACUGACACUGAGGCGCGAAAGCGUGGGGAGCAAACAGG
rnacentral:rRNA from 1 species